CGUAGGGCAAGCGUUAUCCGGAUUUACUGGGUGUAAAGGGAGCGUAGACGGCAAGGCAAGUCUGAUGUGAAACCCAGGGCUUAACCCUGGGACUGCAUUGGAAACUGUCUGGCUUGAGUGCCGGAGAGGUAAGCGGAAUUCCUAGUGUAGCGGUGAAAUGCGUAGAUAUUAGGAAGAACACCAGUGGCGAAGGCGGCUUACUGGACGGUAACUGACGUUGAGGCUCGAAAGCGUGGGGAGCAAACAGGAUU
rnacentral:rRNA from 1 species